GACGAACGCUGGCGGCGUGCCUAAUACAUGCAAGUCGAGCGAACGGACGAGAAGCUUGCUUCUCUGAUGUUAGCGGCGGACGGGUGAGUAACACGUGUAUAAUCUACCUAUAUGACUGGGAUAACCUCGGGAAACCGGCGCUUAUACCGGAUAAUAUUUUGAACCGUAUUGUUCAAAAGUGAAAUACGGUCUUGCUGUCACUUAUAGAUGGUUCCGCGCUGCAUGGGCUAGUUGGUAAGGUAACGGCUUACCAAGGCAACGAUGCAUAGCCGACCUGAGAGAGUGAUCGGCCACACUGGAGGGGAGACGGGGACCAGACUCCUAAGGGAGGCAGCAGAAGGCGACGGUAGGCAGUGGGCGGGAAGCUGACGCAGCAAGGCGGCGCGGGUGAUGAAGAUCUUGGGAUCGUGAUACUGUGUUAGUGGGGGAGAACAUAUGUGUAAGUUGUUGUACACUUCUUGACGGUAACGGAUAAGAAAGCCACGGCUAACUACGUG
rnacentral:rRNA from 1 species